rnacentral:rRNA from 1 species
AUUGAACGCUAGCGGCAUGCUUUACACAUGCAAGUCGAACGAGUGGCGGACGGGUGAGUAAUAUAUCGGAACGUGCCCAGUAGCGGGGGAUAACUACUCGAAACAGUAGCUAAUACCGCAUACUCUUGGACCUGCCCAUAUGGGAUUAGCUAGUUGGUGGGGUAACGGCUCACCAAGGCGACGAUCCCUAGCUGGUCUGAGAGGAUGAUCAGCCACACUGGGACUGAGACACGGCCCAGACUCCUACGGGAGGCAGCAGUGGGGAAUAUUGCACAAUGGGCGCAAGCCUGAUGCAGCCAUGCCGCGUGUAUGAAGAAGGCCUUCGGGUUGUAAAGUACUUUCAGGGGGGAGGCGUUACCGACAGAAGAAGCACCGGCUAACUCCGUGCCAGCCGCCGCGGUAAUAC